UGGUAUCAGAGCAUGGUUUAAAGAUCAGAGAUUUUGAUUUUAAAGCUUUGGAUUUUAAUGUUUUUGGUUUUAAAGUUGUUUUAAGAAAUCCACACUAACACUACGUGGCUCGAGUUAAGUUAAGUUAAGUUUGGUAGAAUAGAAUACGUGCAUCUGCAUAUAGAAUUUGGAGUUGUUUAGACUCGUUUUGUUUCUUCUUAUAGAUCUUAUGGGAGCUAUAGGAACUCCUGAUCCCAGUAAUCCACUUCCUUGUUAAUGUCAUGCAAAGGUCAUAAGUAGGGUCGUUGUUCGGGUUUAAGAUGCCACCCGUGACACGAGCCAGUGUUGGAGGGAUCUUAAAACGAAUGCUC
rnacentral:lncRNA from 1 species